UACGUAGGGUGCAAGCGUUUGUCCGGAAUUAUUGGGCGUAAAGAGCUCGUAGGCGGUUUGUCGCGUCGGCUGUGAAAACUCGGGGCUCAACCCCGGAGCCUGCAGUCGAUACGGGCAAACUAGAGUGUGGUAGGGGAGACUGGAAUUCCUGGUGUAGCGGUGAAAUGCGCAGAUAUCAGGAGGAACACCGGCGGCGAAGGCGGGUCUCUGGGCCAUAACUGACGCUGAGGAGCGAAAGCGUGGGGAGCGAACAGG
rnacentral:rRNA from 1 species